rnacentral:lncRNA from 1 species
AAUAGCCUUCUCAGAAGCAGCCUAAAGAAGAUGGCCUUUUCCUCCUGCAGUCCCAUGGAUGGCAGAUAAAGUGGAUUCUCAGCACAGAGGCCUCAGAGGAGAAUGCCUUCUACAGUGUAGGUGUACAGCAAGCAUGGAAUGAAUAUUGCAAUUGGGUAGAAGCAGAGCUAAAGAAGGAAUAAGGCCUGGAGCUCACUCUGCCUGUGUCCGAGAACACCUUGAAACGUUCUCUACAUGGAUUUCACUCACAUUACAGAUCCUCCCUUUGGAGGGACAGCAUCGUGCCAUGAUA